rnacentral:rRNA from 1 species
UACGGAGGGUGCAAGCGUUGCUCGGAAUUAUUGGGCGUAAAGGGUAGGUAGGUGGUCUUAUUUGUCUGGGGUGAAAGCCUUGGGCUUAACUCAAGAAGUGCCCCAGAAACGGUAAGACUCGAGUCCUGGAGAGGGUCGUGGAAUUCCCGGUGUAGCGGUGAAAUGCGUAGAGAUCGGGAGGAACACCAGAGGCGAAGGCGGCGACCUGGACAGGCACUGACACUCAACUACGAAAGCGUGGGGAGCAAACAGG